rnacentral:rRNA from 1 species
UACGGGGGGAGCAAGCGUUGUUCGGAUUUACUGGGCGUAAAGGGCGCGUAGGCGGUCAGCACAAGUCAGUUGUGAAAUCUCCGGGCUUAACUCGGAAAGGUCAACUGAUACUGUGCGACUAGAGUGCAGAAGGGGCAACUGGAAUUCUCGGUGUAGCGGUGAAAUGCGUAGAUAUCAGGAAGAACACCCGUGGCGAAGGCGGCUCUCUGGGACGGUACUGACGCUGAGACGCGAAAGCGUGGGGAGCGAACAGG